rnacentral:rRNA from 1 species
AACGGAGAAGUAUACCUUGCGAGCGUCAUUUCUCUCUCCACACCUAGUGGGUAUUGGCACUGUACACAGUGCUCAAAACAAUCAUGCGUAUGUGUUAACCACAAUGUGCGCUUAAAACUUAACUAUUGACCUCGUAUAAGGUAAGAGUACCCACUGAACUUAAGCAUAUCAAUAAGUGGAGGAAAAGAAACCAACAGGGAUUGCCUUAGUAGCGGCGAGUGAAGCGGCAAAAGCUCAAAUUUGAAAUCUGCCUUACGGCCGAGUUGUAAUUUGUAGAUGGUAACUCUGCGACAAGUCUUUGCUCAAGUGUUCUGGAAAGGACCAUCAUGGAGGGUGAUAAUCCCGUGAGGCAUUGAUGCAGUUGCGUGUAGAGUGCUAUCGAAGAGUCGAGUUGUUUGGGAAUGCAGCUCAAAGUGGGUGGUAGACACCAUCUAAAGCUAAAUAUUGGCGAGAGACCGAUAGCGAACAAGUACUGUGAAGGAAAGAUGAAAAGCACUUUGAAAAGAGAGUGAAAAAGUACGUGAAAUUAUUGAUACAGAAGGAUAUACAAUUGGACACGGAGUCUUGGGUUCGCUGCUUCUUCGGGAGUAGUUUGUCCCUUGAUUCUUCACCAGCAUCAGUUUUGGCAGGAGGAUAAACAACAUGGAAUGUAGCUGCUUGCAGUGUUAUAGACUUGUUGCAUACUCUUUGCCGGGACUGAGGUCAGCCUUUGUAGGAUGCUGGGGUAACGAUUGUAUAUCACCCGUCUUGAAAC